rnacentral:rRNA from 1 species
AGAGUUUGAUCCUGGCUCAGAUUGAACGCUGGCGGCAUGCUUUACACAUGCAAGUCGAACGGCAGCACGGGUGCUUGCACCUGGUGGCGAGUGGCGAACGGGUGAGUAAUGCACCGGAACGUACCCAGUAAUGGGGGAUAACACAUCGGAAGAUGUGCUAAUACCGCAUACGCCCUGAGGGGGAAAGCGGGGGAUCGUAAGACCUCGCGUUAUUAGAGCGGCCGAUGCCGGAUUAGCUAGUUGGUGGGGUAAAGGCUCACCAAGGCGACGAUCCGUAGCUGGUCUGAGAGGACGACCAGCCACACUGGGACUGAGACACGGCCCAGACUCCUACGGGAGGCAGCAGUGGGGAAUUUUGGACAAUGGGCGAAAGCCUGAUCCAGCCAUGCCGCGUGAGUGAAGAAGGCCUUCGGGUUGUAAA